rnacentral:rRNA from 1 species
CCAAUAGCGUAUAUUAAAGUUGUUGCAGUUAAAAAGCUCGUAGUUGAAUUUCGGGGUUAGUAGGUUGGUCAUGCCUCUGGUAUGUACUGGUCUCACUGAUUCCUCCUUCCUGAUGAGCCGUAAUGCCAUUAAUUUGGUGUUGCGGGGAAUCUGGACUGUUACUUUGAAACAAUUAGAGUGUUUAAAGCAAGCUAACGCUUGAAUACAUUAGCAUGGACUAAUGGAAUAGGACGUUCGAUCCUAUUUUGUUGGUUUCUAGGAUUGACGUAAUGAUUAAUAGGGAUAGUUGGGGUCAUUAGUAUUCAAUUGUCAGAGGUGAAAUUCUUGGAUUUAUUGAAGACUAACUACUGCGAAAGCAUUUGCCAAGGAUGUUUUCAUUAAUCAAGAACGAAAGUUAGGGGAUCGAAGACGAUCAGAUACCGUCGUAGUCUUAACCAUAAACUAUGCCGACUAGGGAUCGGAUGAUGUUAAUUUUUUAAUGACUCAUUCGGCGCCUUACG